UACCUGCUUAGGGCAAAGAUCUGGCCUGUUCCUCACUGAUGCUCUGGAGAGUAGGGGAAGUGGGGCGGAAGAGGGCCCAGGUGAAACCUCCCUCUCUAUCCCCAUCUGGGCAAGAGCAGGGCAAGAUGAGGAACUACCAUUUUCUGGAAUACUAGGUGAGGAGAUGACGAAUGAGCCGGAUGGUCCCUGAGGGUAUGCCCAGCCAGCCCAGCAGUGUGACUGGGCCUCCAGCCUUCCUGCACCUGCCUCAUCAGCAGGCACUUCUUGGAGCAGUGAUGAAGGGCUGUAGAACACAUUUCCCUCUUGGCUCUGGGGAGCCAUCCUCUCCUUGCACAUGCAGAAGGCCCCACGCACCCCUCAGUUUUCCACCCCAGUGUGGAUGCCUCCCAAGAGUUUGCCCUUUGGCAGUGGUCCAGUCUAGUGCACAGCAAGAAUAGAGAGCAGAUGAAAGUUUAAGGCCUAAAAAGACUCUGGAGAAAAAAAUAUUUAAAAAAAAACUCUCUUUAGCUCAUUUAAAAAUUAAACAUGUUCUGUUUUAUAUGAUCAUUUUAUUGCAUGUUAAUGUUGAAUCUAUUGCUCAGGCACUCAUAGAAAAUGACACUGCCAGAGACCUCCUGGAGCACAGAGAUGGUGAGGGAGCUACCAAUCACUUUAAAUGAGAGAUGAACUUCAGCUUUGUGGAUGGUGACAGCCCUCCCAUGUGUGUGGGGAAGCAUGGGAGACUCAUGAAGGUCCAUGUUUGAAAAUGUAACAAGUGGGCAAUGAAGGCUGGCAUGGUGGGCUGAUCAGAGGUGAGCAGUGACAGUUUACUAGUAAAUGAGAGAUGAUUGGUAGCAUGGGGAGUGACUGUGAAGGGCCUUGAAAGUGAAUAUAACCCCAUUGAAGUGGCACAUUUGUAACCGAGGGCAGAUUUGGGCCCAAUAUACACAAUAGGAAUAGUGUGUCUGGGCCAUAUUUAUGAGGCUGUUUGCAUGUAUAAUUAGUGACAGAAGCAUAUUUCAAAAUCCCCACAUUUCAGAUUUUGCAAGUGUUCGCUGUUAGCGCCCAUAGCUAAUAAUUAUUUGUUUCUGAAUUCUAAAAUAACUAAUCUCAGCAGAUAAUGGUGUGUGAGGACAAACGGUGGGAACGGGGACAUGUUUUAGAGCUGCAAUCGCUCACUGAAAUGAGGCUGAUGUUUGUGUGUGUUCUGAUGCUCAGUAAGCAGAAGUUAAUAUAGUUAGACAACAGGGCUCAGUUUGGGGGAAAAAUCAAUAAUGUCAGGGAAUUUAUUACAGGGUUAUGGGCCACCUGCUAGAACUCAGCAUUAGGCCUGUAUUACGUUACACUUCAACAGGAUCUAUUAACAUUGCAGUAAGUCCACGCUAGUGCUAGAAUUGUUAUUUUAUGCUUCACCAGAUGGCUUCUGCUCAGGGGGAUUUAUCUUUGAGUGCAGACAUAUGACUAAUCAUCACUUGCUUUCUCUUUCUUUACUAACGCAAGUGGAGCAGGAAGCAAUUGCCACUCUGAUGAUGGUUCAUUAUUGCUGGGUUUAUUCUGUCUGAAACAGCACAGCAAGAGGUGAAGAGAGUACAAAAGAAGAUAAUCAACCACUUAUCAAUGAGAUAUGCGGGGAAGCUGGGCUCAGAAGAAAUUCCAAGUUACCAGGCCUGGACUAGAUGACCUCCUGAGAUUUCAAAAGGCUUUACAAAUAAAUCUUCAUUUAACUGAUGGGAAAACUGAGUCACAGAGCCAUGAAAUGACUUGCCAAGGUCAUCCAGCAAGUUAGUGGAGGAGCCAAGAAUAGAAUUAACAUCUUCUACCUCUGGUCCAGUGUCCUAGCCAUUAGACUAUGCUGCCUUUGAGGAGUAAAGGGGUUUACUUUGCUUGGGUAAGUGCUAAGUAUUAUAUUUGAUUAGCUAUAAGUGCUAAGUAUUAUUAUUUGAUUAAGAGAAAAUUAAUGCUGAGCAAAUCAUGGAAAAUAUGUUCAACAAAUGCUUGGUUUGUACCUUCCCAUGAAUUUGUUUCAGUUUUGCCCCAUCUGUGUUUCUCCGAAUUAAUUUUACUGGCAGAAAUGCCAAAUGUCAAGGUUUUAUGUGCAAGUAUUCAGGACAGCAAUCUGACACUAGCACAUAUAGAUAUUUCCUCUGGAAGCACUUGCUCACUUGCCCAAUCAGGAAACAGAGACAAUACUAUGUACCUAAUGUGACCAAUCACAACUAAGCAAUACAGUACAAAUUUCAAAUGACCCCAAUAAACCCAUAAAGGAAAGUAUUUUUGAAAAGAUAGUAAAAUUAAAAUUGUAUUAAUAAUUAAAUCAGAGGAAAACACAACCAGUUUGUGAAUGUUCUGUGGACGGAAAAAGAGACUGAAUUUGCCUAAGAAAUCAUAAGUUGUGAAUUUGUCAUUCAGCUGUACAGGAAAAA